AUUUAAAAUUCUAUCACGUUUUAAGAUAUAAAUUUUGUUUAAAUAUAGCAAAUAAUAUAUUGAACUCCACUUGAAAAAGACUGGUAUCUUAUUUAGUGAGGAGUUGUGUACUUCAACUGGGUUUCCUGAACGUUAACAAGAAAAUCAAAAUGUGUUUCAAAGUAACCUGCGAAUCAUGUAACAAGCCAACAUGGGCAGGAUGUGGAAAUCAUAUUGAAAAAUGUUUGAAAGACAUUCCACCAGAAGAAAGAUGUAAAUGCCCGAAAAAGUCAAAUUAAUGGAAAUAUUUUGCAGAUUGGUGUUGGUUACACGAGUGAACAGAAGAACAAGAAACCUUUUAAUUUGUAACUUUUGAUUUUAUUGAUAUGUCUAUUCAUCAUGAGUAUACAUUAAAAUAUUUAAAUGCA